AGUAAGCGCCUCCCCCAGACUUA
rnacentral:siRNA from 1 species